CAUAACUCAGCCGCUCCUCACUUCUAAGCCUCCCUCUUCUUCUUUGUUCGAGAGCUUCAAAGCUCUCUAGUCUCGCAAACCACCAUUCAACGUCGCUGGUGAUCAGGUAAGCUCUAGUCUGACCAGGCGAAAACUAAAGCUCCUCUUCCUCGUUUAACCCCUACAACCGAGUGCCUAGAAGCCCCAAUCCAACCCCUAACAUGAUAAAAGGCCCCGACUUUCCACUUCCGGUGACCUGGGACCAUGGAUUCUAACGAUGAACAUUCACAUAGCAAGCCUGGAUUUGAACCUUUGAGUCCUUGGACUCUCCGGUUUCCUUUUCCGACGUUCGACCCCCACAAUCCCGAACUUUCUUGACUCUGGUGGCUAUCAAAAGACCCUAGUAUCGGCAUAAAAAAUGGCAUGAUUGGCGGCAGCAGCUAAACAGAUCAAUUCUGGAUUCGGGUCACACUUGGGCUCCGGGUUUUAAUUUCUUCAAGACUGUUGUAAUUGGUCUUUGUAGUUUGGGCCUGUAAACGUUGUAAAAUAAU